rnacentral:rRNA from 1 species
UACGUAGGGGGCAAGCGUUGUCCGGAAUUAUUGGGCGUAAAGAGCUCGUAGGCGGUCUGUUGCGUCCGCUGUGAAAACUCGGGGCUUAACCCCGAGCCUGCAGUGGAUACGGGCAGACUAGAGGUAGGUAGGGGAGAAUGGAAUUCCCGGUGUAGCGGUGAAAUGCGCAGAUAUCGGGAGGAACACCGGUGGCGAAGGCGGUUCUCUGGGCCUUACCUGACGCUGAGGAGCGAAAGCGUGGGGAGCGAACAGG